GGAGCGACGCCGCGUGGAGGAUGAAGGUCUUCGGGUUGUAAACUCCUGUCAUGCGGGAACAAGCAAGUGAUAGUACCGCAAGAGGAAGAGACGGCUAACUCUGUGCCAGCAGCCGCGGUAAUACAGAGGUCUCAAGCGUUGUUCGGAUUCAUUGGGCGUAAAGGGUGCGUAGGUGGUGGCGCAAGUCUGGUGUGAAAUCUCGGAGCUUAACUCCGAAAUUGCACCGGAUACUGCGUGACUCGAGGACUGUAGAGGAGAUCGGAAUUCACGGUGUAGCAGUGAAAUGCGUAGAUAUCGUGAGGAAGACCAGUUGCGAAGGCGGAUCUCUGGGCAGUUCCUGACACUGAGGCACGAAGGCCAGGGGAGCAAACGGGAUUAGAUACCCCGGUAGUCCUGGCAGUAAACGGUGCACGUUUGGUGUGGGCGAGUUCAGACCCCGUCCGUGCCGGAGCUAACGCGUUAAACGUGCCGCCUGGGAAGUACGGUCGCAAGAUUA
rnacentral:rRNA from 1 species